rnacentral:rRNA from 1 species
AUUGAACGCUGGCGGCAGGCUUAACACAUGCAAGUCGAACGAGUGGCGGACGGGUGAGUAAUGCUUGGGAAUCUCGCUUAUGGAGGGGGAUAACUACGGGAAACUGUAGCUAAUACCGCGUACCAUAGGAUGAGCCCACGUGGGAUUGGGUAGUUGGUGAGGUAACGGCUCACCAAGCCGACGAUCUCUGGCUGGUCUGAUAGGAUGACCAUCCACAUGUGGACGAAGACACGGACCAGGCUCCUACGUGAGGCAGCAGUGGGGAAUAUUGCGCAAUGGGGACAACCUGAAGCAGCCAUGCGGCGGGAAUGAAGAAGGCCAUCGGGUUGUAAAGUACUUUCGGUAGCGAGGCGUUAACUACAGAAGAAGCACCGGCUAACUCCGUGCCAGCAGCCGCGGUAAUUC